CUCAAAGGUUAAUGAAUGACGGAGAUAGUCCACCCUUUCCUCGUAAAAAAAGAAACUGACUUUUAAUAAUGCCCAAGUAAAACUUGUAAUUCUCUAACAAACUAAAAAUCACUGGAUAAUGAAAUCACUAUUCAUUAGUUUUGGCUUACUUAAAAGCCUAAUAAACAGUGCCUAGGGCACUGUAAAAAUGAAAAACAAUUUCAAUGUCCUUUCAUGAGUUCUAAUCUAAUUAGUGUAUGACUGCAUAAAGAAAAUAUCUCGGGGGCUGGGGAUAUAGCUCAGUGGUGCUGUCGCCUGCCUUCCAAGCACAAGGUCCUUAGUUGGAUCCCUGGUACAAAAAAAAAAAAGAAAAAAGAAAAGAAAAUCUCUCAGGGCAAGGGAUUUAGCUCAGAGGCACUGCACCUACCUCACAAGCACAAGGUCUUGAGUUAGAUCCCUGGUACCAAAAAAAAAAAAAAUCUAUUGGUGGACAAAAAUUAAACUUACAUAUAUACUGCAAAUGUGAUUUUCUCGUUUUGUUUUCCAAAAGCUUCUAGUUAUUUAACCAAGUGAAGGGAUGUACUAACAUUACUUGCAUAAGAAAAAUUAAAACUCUCACAUAAUCCAUGUAUUAUACCUUUAAUGCUGAUAAAAUUUAAAAGCUAGUAAUUACAACCUUUAUUGAGCUAAUACAGAUACAUAAAAAAUGCUUUAAGGGAAGAUUUUUGGGUAGCUAGACCAUUUAAAUCAUACUUUCAGACUAGCCAUUUAUCCUCCCCAUGUGCUGUUAAGGUACUUCUUACAACCAUAUUGUUCAAAUAUGGUUACUUAUUCUUUACUGCAUUCCUUCACAAAAUAAAGGCUGAGAGUAAAGCCUUGAGACUAAAUUAAGAGACAGGCUCCCUCUUUUCUAACAACCCUCUGGGAUCUUGUAUCACUUCAUAAAAUAGAUGUUAUACUGGGUUGAUUUUUAAAAAGGACCAAUAAUCAUGUUUCAUGGCUGCACCAAAUAAAAACUUUUCACUUUAAUCUCUAUUAUCUUAAUUAUUAGUACAUUAGGGUUGAGGUCUCCAAAUUUAAACAAAUUUUUCUCCCUUAAAACCACAGCCUCUAUGUAAAUCAAGUAUAGCUUAAUGCCAUUUUACAAUUAUGCACUAAUUCCUAAAAUAUUCCACAAAAAGUACAAUGAGUUUUUAAAUUUUGAUCAGCUGCCUAGUGUCAGUUUUAACCAGAGCUGAAAAACAGAAGAUUUAAGUAAACUGAAAGUCAUUACUGGGUUUUAAACGAAGAUAUUUAAGUAAUCUUCUUGAUAUUUUCUUUUGACAGCCACUUAUUUCUACCCUGAAAAAAGCUUGAAAUAAAAAAAUUAGUAUUUAAAAUACUAUACAAAAUUCUAAAAAAAGAAAACCAGACAAGUAUACUUCAGUUUAAUCACUGUCCACAUAGAUUUGUGAAAAAUGUUAAGAGAUACACUUUAAGUCGCAAAGGAGAUUUAAGAAUUCUUGUUAACUAUUACAGUAUGGAAAUGUGACUA
rnacentral:lncRNA from 1 species